rnacentral:rRNA from 1 species
CCUACGGGGGGCUGCAGUGGGGAAUAUUGGACAAUGGGGGGAACCCUGAUCCAGCCAUGCCGCGUGUGUGAAGAAGGCCCUCGGGUUGUAAAGCACUUUCAGUGAGGAAGAACGCCUGGUGGUUAAUACCCAUCAGGAAAGACAUCACUCACAGAAGAAGCACCGGCUAACUCCGUGCCAGCAGCCGCGGUAAUACGGAGGGUGCGAGCGUUAAUCGGAAUUACUGGGCGUAAAGCGCGCGUAGGUGGCUUGAUAAGCCGGUUGUGAAAGCCCCGGGCUCAACCUGGGAACGGCAUCCGGAACUGUCAAGCUAGAGUGCAGGAGAGGAAGGUAGAAUUCCCGGUGUAGCGGUGAAAUGCGUAGAGAUAGGGAGGAAUACCAGUGGCGAAGGCGGCCUUCUGGACUGACACUGACGCUGAGGUGCGAAAGCGUGGGUAGCAAACAGGAUUAGAUACCCGAGUAGUC